rnacentral:rRNA from 1 species
UACGUAGGGUGCGAGCGUUGUCCGGAAUUACUGGGCGUAAGAGCUCGUUGGGGGUUUGUCGGGUUGGUCGGGAAAACCGGGGGCUUAACCCUCGGCGUGCGGGCGAUACGGGCAGACUUGAGUACUGCAGGGGAGACUGGAAUUCCUGGUGUAGCGGUGGAAUGCGCAGAUAUCAGGAGGAACACCGGUGGCGAAGGCGGGUCUCUGGACAGUUCCUGACACUGAGGCACGAAGGCCAGGGGAGCAAACGGG